rnacentral:rRNA from 1 species
AUUGAACGCUGGCGGCGUGCCUAACACAUGCAAGUCGAGCGGCAGCGCGGGAGCAAUCCUGGCGGCGAGCGGCGGACGGGUGAGUAACGCUUGGGAAUCUGCCUGUUAGUGGGGGACAACCCGGGGAAACUCGGGCUAAUACCGCAUACGCACUACGGUGGAAAGCCGGGGACCGCAAGGCCUGGCGCUAACAGAUGAGCCCAAGUCGGAUUAGCUAGUUGGUAGGGUAACGGCCACCAAGGCGACGAUCCGUAACUGGUCUGAGAGGACGACCAGUCACACCGGAACUGAGACACGGUCCGGACUCCUACGGGAGGCAGCAGUGGGGAAUAUUGGACAAUGGGGAAACCCUGAUCCAGCGACGCCGCGUGGGUGAAGAAGGCCUGCGGGUUGUAAAGCCCUUUCAGUGGGGAAGAAAAGCCUCGACCUAACACGUCGGGGUCUUGACGUAACCCAUAGAAGAAGCACCGGCUAACUCUGUGCCAGCAGCCGCCGU